ACGCCCACCGGGUCCGCCCCCACGCGGCCGCCUGCACAGGGGGUUCCAGCCACCCGCGCUCUCCCAGGUUUGCCGACCUUACGGGCCCUUCUCCGCCAGCCCUGGCUGGGUCACCCCCACGACCCGGGACUCCCCCGCCGUUCCCUCCCGGGCUGCCUGCAGUGAGGUCCGCUCCUGAGGCCUCAGCCUCGCCGGGGGUGAUCCGCCCACCUCGGCCUCCCAAAGUGCUGGAAUUACAGGCAUGAACCACGGUGCCCGGCUGACACAAGGAACUUUCUAUGAGGUCCUAGGAAUGAAGGAAAACAGGCAAUAAGGCAAGAAUCGCUGUCGAAGGAGUCUGCGCCACCUGCUCGCACAGCUCACUUGUGCCUUCUGAGCCUGCUGGAGCCCAGUGUACAUAUGCCGUCUCCGCGUGAUUAGAGAUUGCUGCUGCACGUGCCCAAUCCCGUGGCGGGGCUGGAACACAAACGGGGUGGUGUUCCAGCUGCAACCAUGCAGAUGAAGACUAUACCCUAGGAGAUGGAGGAACAACAGACAAGAAAGAAACCUGGGUUCCUGAAUAACCACGUGGAGCCAAGCAGCUUACUUAUCUCAAGCCACUGUUGCCCACCUCCAGAUUGGUUCGUGAGAUAGAAAUAAGCUUCUAUCCUUUUUGCAUGACUGCAUUUUGGGGUCUGUGUUAUAGCAGCUUAAUCUCUAUCUGAAUUAUAUUGGAUUUAAGUGUCUGAAGCCCAAUGACUUAACCUUUCCUGAGGCAAAGGCACAGAAGAGCCUAUUUUCCAAAAAUGGGAAAACGAAGACAUAGGAAGGAAAAACCCAACAAAUGGUCAGGAAAUUAUACUGCUAUAGGCUCUUCUCGGAUGAGUGUCUAGUCCUAAUGAGGGGGCUGUGGGAAUUCAAAGACGGAGAAACUGCCUUCAGAUAGAGCUAGUAGGGAAGACCCCUGCAGACAGUGACAUUAAAUUGAAGGUAGAAUUUGGAUAGAUGGACAUGGGGAGGGCAAUUCAAACAAAGGGAACUUGAGCAACAGGGUGGAGGUAGAAAGGUGCCAGAUCUUUUGGGAGAUGCAGAAGUGAUAUCACACAGUUUAAAGCCAGAGUUAAAUAUAAACCGAUACUUAGAAGCUUAAAUUCAACAUGGCAAAUUCACAGGUUUAGUUUCCUAAAAGAUUUUUCAUGUUUUUAUUACAGAACUGUCUGCAAACAAAUCUUUACUUGAUGAGAAGUUUAAAUAUAAUUAAAUCUAGAAUAUUACAUGAAUAUUUUAUUGCUUUAUUAAGUCCUUCAAACAACACAUUUAUUUAUUUAUUUAUUUAUUUAUUUAUUUAUUAUUUUUUUUGAGACAGAGUCUCACUCUGUUGCCUAGGCUGGAGUACAGUGGCACGAUCUCAGCUCACUGCAUCCUCCACCUCCCAGGUUCAAGCGAUUCUCC
rnacentral:lncRNA from 1 species